GAGUGCGCAGGUGCGUACUCACCACAACACAAGGGGUUGCCCGGGACUCCCUGCCUGGGCAACCCUUAU
rnacentral:sRNA from 1 species